CCAUGCCGCGUGCAGGAAGACGGCCCUAUGGGUUGUAAACUGCUUUUGUACGGGAAGAAACACCGCUACGCGUAGUGGCUUGACGGUACCGUAAGAAUAAGGAUCGGCUAACUCCGUGCCAGCAGCCGCGGUAAUACGGAGGAUCCAAGCGUUAUCCGGAAUCAUUGGGUUUAAAGGGUCCGUAGGUGGACGAUUAAGUCAGGGGUGAAAUCUUGCAGCUCAACUGUAAAAUUGCCCUUGAUACUGGUUGUCUUGAAUCAUUGUGAAGUGGUUAGAAUAUGUAGUGUAGCGGUGAAAUGCAUAGAUAUUACAUAGAAUACCGAUUGCGAAGGCAGAUCACUAACGGUGCAUUGACACUGAUGGACGAAAGCGUGGGGAGCGAACAGGAUUAGAUACCCUGGUAGUCCACGCCGUAAACGAUGGAUACUAGCUGUCCGGCGCAAGCUGGGUGGCUAAGCGAAAGUGAUAAGUAUCCCACCUGGGGAGUACGUUCGCAAGAAUGAAACUCAAAGGAAUUGACGGGG
rnacentral:rRNA from 1 species